UUAACCACCACGCCGGUGGCUCCACCUGAACGCACCGCGAACACCUGGAGACAGAAAACAGAGCAAAGACGUAGGACAGGUGCACACAGGCUCUAUAUAAAACGAGGGUUGCUUCCAGGAGCGGCGUUGGUGUGGAAGUCGAGCUACUGCCUCUUGCAGGUCACUGGACAGUCAACAAUACUGUUGCUCCCUUUAAGAGUGACCACAGCAAAUCAUCAGCCUCAGUGUCACUAUUCCCCUAGAAUCAACCCUCUGUGCAUCCUCUUUCGCUACAUCAGUGAACCUCCUCUGUGGUCUUCCUGUUUUCCUCCUCCCUGGCAGCUCCAUCUUCAUCAUCUGAUGUCCAUCAUGUCCACAGUCACAGGGCUACAACCCAGUGUGCUCCUGGUGCCGAUCCUGAGAUUGGAUCAAUCAGGAGUAUUGCAUCAGGUGUAAGGUUUUGGGCAAAUCAAACAAGUGGAUCAUAAAGAAGGAAAUUACUUUCCCCCAGCUCACACCGGGACGCUCAGCAGUCGGGUGUGAGAGACGAGAUCAGAAAUAAAUGUCUGAGGCCGUUUUUCACAAAGUUAAAGUUGUUCAGUGUCUUCUGCAGGAGUGAGGGGAGAGCGGAGCAGCAUCUGUGAUGCAGAUGUUGAUUUACCAACCUGACCUCACCUCUG